CCAAGCCAAACCGCUCAUUUGGCAUCUCUAAGGUGACGGUACUGUCGUACUGACCCAAUGACCCUUGGAGCUAAGCUACAUGCUAAUAACAGUAUCCAGGCUGACAAAUUAGGCAUCGAGAAUUACUAAUAAUUUAACCACUCCAUCAUCAUUGACACACGUAACAUUAGCAUACAAAUGAAAUUAGGCCAGCCUGUUCGCUCGCCUCCGUCUCCUUCGUGCACUCUUUUUUUUUCUCCAGUAUUUUUUCUUUCGCCGGCUCGGACUUCGACUUCUACCCUUUUGUUAAACAAAAACUUAAUACAAUCACGGUGACAAUAUACCAGCUAGUAGCCAGGUCAAUCUGCAGAUUAUUAUCACGCAUGUGGUGUAGACACGUAAGUAGAUCGAUGAGAUAGAUGCAAUGCGAUUGCAUGGGCUGCCGGCCGGGGCAAUCCAUCUUGUGCCUAGGACGGCAGCUGCUCCAUGGCCACCUCCUCCAUCUUCUGGUGAGCCCGGGCCUCCAUCUCGCAGCAGAGGCAGGGCCGGCUGAGCACGGCGCCGUGCGCGUGCGCGUGCCCCACCCCGGCGACGGCGUGCUCGUCGACGACCGGGAGGGGCUUGCGGGCGAUGAUGACGGAGUUGAUCACCUCCCCCUCCGGGUGGUGCACGGCGAGCACGUCGAAGCCGCCGCGGCGGAUCUCCUCGGGGUCAACCACGGGGUACAGGAAGCCGCGCGCGCCGUGCGCGCUCCGCACCACCAGCGCGGCGCCGGGCGCCAUGUGCCUGCCGAGGUGCUCGACGACGCGCGCCUUCUCCUCGGCGGCCAUGCCCACGAGCGCCGCCAGGAAGACGACGUCGUAGGCGGCCAGUUCCCGGGUGACGUGGGCGACGUCGGAGGUGCGGAACGCCAUGCGCGCGGCGAGCGCGGCGUCGGCGCGCACGAGGCGGCGCGCGCGGUCGUUGGCGUCCCCGCAGAUGUCGUAGUUGUCGAAGGCGGCGGCGGGGAGGUGGCGCGAGGCGAGCACGAGGGAGCUGAGCGGGAGCGGGCCGGAGCCGACGAAGGCGACGCGGGAGGGGGGCGGGCCCGGGACGUGGCGCGCCAGCAGGCCGUGCUCCAGCUGGCUCAGCAGGAGGUAGUUGGUGAAGUAGGGGAAGAGCGGCAGGUGGUCCAGCGGGUUGUCGAAGGCGGCCAGCAGGUCGGAGUAGUGCGCCUCCAGCAGCGCCUCGGCGUCGGCGCAGAGGCGGAUGAGGCCCGCGCGCAUGCGCUGCAGCUCCGGGCCCAGGCGCUCCACGUCCACGGUGCUGCGCGGGAUGCAGGCCGUGACGAGGUCGGUGAAGAGCGCGUUCACCUCCGGCGACGGGCUCAGCGACGGCAGCCUGGCGAUGGCGGCGGCCAGGCCGGAGAUCUUGCGCACCAGCGCCGACUCGGCCUCCUCGUCCGCCGCCGUCUCCUGCUGGACGACGACUCGCACAUCUCCUUGGACCACCUCCUCCUCCUUGUGCUGCUGCUGCUGCUCCUCCUCCUCCUUGCCCAUGACGGCCAUGGCAGUGUGUGAUCGAUCACACUGAUCACUUUGCUGGUUGCUGCUUCGCUUUGGAUUGGGCGAGGCAUAGUACACUAUAUAUAUAUGGUGGUGGGGGAAUAAUGGCGUCCCUGUCUUGUAGACGCGUGCCCGCCACAAGCCCUCUGCGUUGUUUUCUCCACACACGCAACGGCGUCCUUGUCGCAGUCGUCGUCGUCGCCAGUCGCCACAGCACGCGUACAACUUGCACUGGCGAGUGAAGUUCCAUUUCAUUUCUGCAGGGCCGUGCCUGAGGCAGGGCGGGAGGGGCGGCCGAUCUGGGCCCCCAUCUCCCAGGGGCCCCACCGCACACAAAGUCUAAUAGGAAUAUAGGAUAGAAACAGAUAUUAUUUACUAUACUAAUAUAUUUUUGAGUUUCUGAGGAGAAUGGAUUGAUAUCCC
rnacentral:lncRNA from 1 species